AAAACGACGGCCAGUACCCGCUGAAUUUAAGCAUAUUAAUAAGCGGAGGAAAAGAAACCAACAGGGAUUCCCUCAGUAAGGGCGACUGAAAUGGGAAGAGCCCAGCGCAUAAGCUCGCUUUGCCUUUUACCGGGCGCGAGCGGUGUUGCGUUUCGGAGGGUCCGGCACGCCGCCUUACGACGCWUAAGUCAKGUUUGAAAGCGGCCACUACCCAUUGAGGGUGAAAGGCCCGUCARGCGGAGCCCKUGCGGGCAGAAGUGAGGCGGUSGGAAAGGACC
rnacentral:rRNA from 1 species